rnacentral:rRNA from 1 species
UGUUGCCUACGGGGGGCAGCAGUGGGGAAUUUUCGUCAAUGGGCGCAAGCCUGAACGAGCAAUGCCGCGUGAACGAGGAAGGUCUUCGGAUCGUAAAGUUCUGUUGAAGGGGAAAAAGAGCGGAGAGAGGAAAUGAACUCCGAUUGAUAUUACCCUUCGAGGAAGUCACGGCUAACUACGUGCCAGCAGCCGCGAUAGUACGUAGGUGGCGAGCGUUAUCCGGAAUGAUUGGGCGUAAAGGGUGCGUAGGCGGCCUGCUAAGUCUGGAGUGAAAGGCACCGGCUCAACCGGUACAGGC